AAGGGAAGAAUUAGCAGGAAUAUGCAUCAAGUCCAUCUGCCAUGACUACACACCUCUUCACAAUAAUAACAAUCAUAUUUGAUUCAGUCAUUUACCACUGCAGCUUUGGACUUUUUUUCUGCAAUAUAUUAAACACCGGUGUAACUAAAAAGCCAAAAAUCAACUGACUAAUGGAAAACGAAUGCAAAACACAACCUGAACGCACAAUGAAAGAAUGACGCAAGCACUCGCUGUAUAAUUACAAUGAGCAGGAUGAGGGAUGGACACACACACUAAUACAGACACGAGUGCCAAGACAACGAACUUCUACAAUUACCUGCAUGGGUUACAGAUGGUGAGUAAACAAGGCAGCUCCAUUUAGUCUGGAUUUCAAAUGUUGUGACUAAAUAAUUAGUAAAACUAUAUUCACCCCAUAAACCAUCAAUGACACUGUAUCAACAAUGUCAGAUGAUACUUCUUUUACUUUUAAAUACAGGGGUUCAAAGCAGGAGAUACAGGCUGGAGGAAGUAAAAACAGGAAAAACAAAAAGGCAGCAAUAAAAUGAAGCUCAAGAUAUGGAUGCGCAACAAAGCAUGGAGGACUAUCUUGGACGCUGAGACCAGUGUGACUCUCAAGACGACACUGUUCAGCCAAGACAAAGUACAAUAAGGCAACUGAACUAAAAACACCACGAAACUCACUCAUCAACUAUGCAACGUGUCACCUACAAAGGUAGAGUUAAGUGCCCAAAAGAAGACGCAGAGCCUGCAAGGCUUUAGCCCGCCCCAUGUAAUAGAAUGACAGAACUGGAAGGAGGAUAGUUACUAGUUGCAGCUUACGUCUGCACACACAGACCCAAUUUACAUGACAAGAAAGGUUAAAAGAUGAAUUCAAGGUUUCAAGCAUGCACACCAGCCAGCAGCACCUAUUGUACACAUAGAAAAGCAAAAUGCAAUAUAAAAAAAACAACAACUGUACAAUACAGCUUGGAGUACCAUUAAUGUUCAUUACUGACUAAUGAGCAUUAAAAUAUGGAGGAGACACCAUGAGUGACCUUCCAUUCUAAAUGAUUCUCCAAAGUCAUGGUACGGUGAUUUUCACUAAUGAGGUUCUGGUCCCGCAGCUUCUUCCUAGGUGAUUGUAUUGAUUCAGUCAGCUUAUCACAGCCAAGAAACUCACUUAUAAUCUGUAUGCAGCAGAACUGCCUAUGCAGCAGAAAAAACACUGAUUUUGCAUGUUAAUUUUCCCAUUUUUGAUCAUUUCAACUGGUCUCCCUAUAACAUUAGGCUACUCUGAAAAUGUAACAAUUGUGUGCUGAGACAUUUUAAAUGUUACCACAUAUGACAUAAAAUGAUCCUUGACCUCAAACCACAACAAUCCUGCUGAACUAAACAGUAGUAUACACGACAUAAACAUCUAUUUUCAUAUUACUAACAACAAAGCCAUUGUUUUGAUUGACUUAAGGCUAAAUCUACACGGCCCGGAUCUCUUCAUUUAUCCAUCACAAAUGCCUUUUUUAACUAACUUCUUACUUUUACUGCAUCAGUUUUUAAUAUGUGCUAUAAAUACUUGUUUUGUUUGAAUCCAGGCAAAGUGUGGAAAUUAUUCUACAUUCAGGAAAAUGGGAGGACAGGGUAAGCCUUUAUGUGCUUGAAUGGACAUUUGUGGAUGGAUAUAAAAACAGCUUUUGUAACCAUGGCAAACUGUCUUUAAAUCUCUUAUUCAUAAACAGGCUGACAUCAUGAAUGUAGAGUUGGGGCAGGUUACCCUCUGACAUUGUAGUGCUUAAAACCUUCAACUACCAAAUGGCGUGGAAUAGAAAAGCAGUGAGGAUGAAUGGCUGGUGACCCUGUUUACCUGCAAGGGCAGAGCUCACGCUGGUAGAUCCGUUCAGUUGCACAGGGAUGGAAGGAACACUGCGGGGAUAGGUCAAAGUGGAGACAGACAGGAAAGACGAAGAGGAACAGGAAAAGGUGGAGACAGCCAUGUGACAUGCUUCCUCAAACAGAACAUCUCAGCUAUUUUUCCAUUUACCCUAUAACCUGCACUCCAUCCCACAUUGUGCUCCGAUACCAACCUUAAC